UACAGAGGGUGCAAGCGUUGUCCGGAAUCACUGGGCGUAAAGGGCGCGUAGGCGGCCAUUCAAGUCGGAGGUGAAAGCCCAGGGCUCAACCCUGGAAUUGCCUUCGAUACUGUUUGGCUAGAGACCGGAAGAGGUAAGUGGAACUGCGAGUGUAGAGGUGAAAUUCGUAGAUAUUCGCAAGAACACCAGUGGCGAAGGCGGCUUACUGGUCCGGUUCUGACGCUGAGGCGCGAAAGCGUGGGGAGCAAACAGG
rnacentral:rRNA from 1 species